rnacentral:misc_RNA from 1 species
AAGUCGUAACAAGGUUUCCGUAGGUGAACCUGCGGAAGGAUCAUUAACACGUAUCCACGUAUCAACCAACGCGAAUUUGUUUUCAAUUUCUCCCUACACAUGUGUAGGCGUGCAAAUAUUAACAUUUUUCACAAAUUUUUGCUAGUUGACUUUUCUACGUACAUUCGGCCUCGGUCGUCUGUUCACGUUUUUUAAACGAAACUAAACAACUCUUAGCAAUGGAUAUCUUGGUUCUC